GGAUAUUAGAGCAAUCUGACAGUGACAUCUGUCACUCUAUUUUAUGCCAGGUUUGAUUCGAGGGGUUUAGAUAGCUGGAAGAUGUCCAGUGAUUCCUUUACUGUUCUAUUUUUGUUAUCCUGCCCUAGGCAUUGGCUGCAUAUUCAGGAUGUCACCCAAGUCAAAAAUGGUGAUACUAUCAGGUAGAGGAGGACCACACUGUAGCAAUACAAUUAGCUGAACAGCCCUAGAAACUAAAACAAGUCUGCAAGGUUCAUGUGGAAAUGCCAAGUUCUACUUUUAGUUUGCAAAACAAACAUUUUAAAAUGUAGUGAAAUGUU
rnacentral:sRNA from 1 species